GGCGGAGGGGGGUGUGCGACAGAGCCCGCCCCUGCCGCGCCUCCACCCCCUACGCCCUCUGGCAGGCACCCGGCCAGGUGCUGAGGUCCAGGCGGACCAAGGCGGCCCGAUGGCGGGGCAGUGAGAUCGCCCAGAGUCAGAGUGAAGAAAGAGGAGGUGGUGGGAGAAUGGCACUGAGCCCCCAAGGCUACUCGAGAUGUAAAACACACUGAUACCUCUGGUCUUUAAUUCUCUGGGAAUCAAGUCCUUAAGAAACAAUGACUUGAGGAAAACCUCACAAAUGCUUGGUGUACCGUGCAAACUCAAGUUGGCUCACAGUUCAUGCUGCCCUGUCCUUACGCUGCAUGGGGCCAAAGGACUUCGAACAGGGCCUAUUCACCCAUUUCCAGUUGAAAGAAAAUAUAUUUCACAUCCCUAUCAAAAAAAAAAAAAAAAGAAUCCUCCGCUUCACCACAUGAUUGACUCCAGGAAUAGCUAACUCUAUCAGGGUGGAAAAACUGUGAAGGCUCCGAAACAGAUUGGAGAAUAUAAAGAAAAGAAACCAAUCCUGAAGAAUCCAGAAAGAAUCCUGAAGUCAUAUUAAACAUAUAUAACUCUCUCAAUUAGCACAUUAUCAUGGCUUUAUGAUGUCUGUGUCCUCCCAGGAGAAAACAUCAGAGAAAGAGAAGAAAGAAGAUCUUGAUGAAGAAUUCAGAAGGCACCUGCGUUUGUAGCCCCUUGAACAUGAGCCUGGAGCCCUGUGAUGAAGAAUAUAAAUAUAACUUAAAGCAGAGCAACUGCUACCUUUUGCCAACAUGUGUAAGCACAUGAUAGUUCAGUGAUGCCAGAUUUUCCAAUUUUUCGAAGUUGAAAAUUUGUGUUUUUAUUUAAAGUCUUUCCAUUUUUAAAAGUUAGCUACUAAUUCAUUUUUCUAGUGCUCUGACAAACAAACGUAAGACCUGAAACUACCAGCCUGAGCCUACCUGGUGCCAUUCUUCCCUGAACUGCAGGAAAGGCAAUGAUGUAAGGAAGCCUUUGAAACACGAGUGGACCUGCUGUGGCUCCAUUUCUAGAAACACAGGUAUAGAAAUCAGAUCAUGAUUUUCCAAGGGCAAAUCUCAUUUAAUUGAAUCUAUGGGUACAUUCACUAAGCAUUUUCUGUACACAUGGGCGCUGUGAAGAGGGUAGAGACCCAAAUGGGACCAAACCAUACUCUGGCCUUUAAGAAGUAGGUUGCCAACCACAACUAAAUGAGUGUUCAGCUACCUUGUUCCCAAAUUGAAGUGUAGCCUUUUAUCUUACAGAGGACUCAGAAAGUUCCAGAGUUCUCUGUUACUAGGUACUCCUUUACUAAUGCUUCAGGGCAACAAGUGUUCCUGCUGCUACUGUUACUACUAGUAACAGCCACUACUGCAAAUACUACUGGUCCUAUGAUAACUGUUACCACCAUAUAUUAUUGUGUCUUCAUUUUGUGUUAAACACAUUAGGUGAACAAUUUCUAAUGUUCACAAUACUCCUAGAUGAUGGGUACUGUUAUUACACCUGUUUUACAUAUGGUUGAUUUAGUCCAAUCAGCUUUGAUGAGACCACAUGUUGGUAAUGAUCAAAAAUUGAGUUGAAACACAGGAUUAGUGGAGUCUUUCAUUCAUAUCAUGCUGUUUCAGUUCACACCUAGCCUCCUACCAAGACUUUUCAUCUUAUGUCUCAUACAUUUAGGAACUGCUGCCCUUUGAUUAAUAAGUAAAUCAAUUAUUUGGUAGAAUACUGCAAGCUGAUAAAGACAUUAUCAUCUUCCCUUUUUUCCCUGGAUAAUAUCUUAAAUGAGACCCUCCAUGCCUUAACCUCCAGAAGUGACUAAUGAUAGGAAUGUUAGCCAUUACUGAGGCUCUAUUUUGGUAUUGUUUUUGCACCAGCAGCAUUAAUGCUCUGAUAAAGUCAUGCUGUUUGGCAUCAUAUACUCUUCUGGCAUCAGACUGACUGAGCUGGCACAGUGGUAUCUGAAAUCUAAAGGUGGCAUCAGCAGAUUUUUUUUUCUAUGAAGGGCUAGAUAGCAGAGACUUGAGUGGGGCUUGUGUACAAUCUCCGUUGAAACUUCUGUCUUCACUGAACAACUCUACUGUCAUUGGUGAAAAGCAGACACAGACACUAGUAUACAAUGAAACCAAUAAAACCAAACAAUAAAAGGACCAAUAAAACUUUACUCAUAAAAACAGAUAGUGGGCCAUAUUUAGUCUGAAAACUACUUUGUCAACCCUUGGUCUACUUGGUCUUAGGCCAGCUCUGUGAUCCGGGAAGACAACACAUAAACCUGCUGAACCCCACUUUCUUCAUCAGUAAGCAUGCAUAUCUCACUACUACCUAAACUAACUUAAGAAGAUGAUAAGGCUAUACUGAGGAUGAAAUUAGAGAAUUUACAGAAAAUCACUGUCAACUGUCUAGUGCUCACAUAAUUAUUUAAUAAUUAGCUCACAAAGUAGGGAGACUUUACUGACUAAUAUUGGCCUCCUGGCCAACUACCACCUUUGUUUUCCUUUCUUCUAGCCCUCCACUAAAUUCUCUACCUAUUAAUCCCUAUUCUUAAUCCCUCCUUUACACAUACACACACACAUACACACACACACCACACACACACAAUAUCACAACACACACACAUCCCUAGAACUAUAUUUUUACAGACCUCAGCUAUACCCCAGGGCCCUCUUUUUUCAUCCAUCCUCUACUAGGCUUGAUUUUUGUGUGCCACCACUCAGUUGUCCUUCCUCAGAUUAGACCACUAAUGCAGAAUAAAUAUUAUUAUUGGCUCAAUUAUCUUUUUGAAAGGGGUGAUUUGUGGAUAAAUGGCUUAUUCCAACAUGCCCUUGGAACAUCUCAACAAUCCUAGUGAAGUGAGUGAUUCUUUUUAGAGUUCAUUGGAUUACUUCUGAGAAACUCACUUAUAGUCCAAAACAGCAACCCAGCUCUAGCAAACCAGGAGAAAUUUGGAUUUCAAGGAUGCCAUGUAAAGUAAAUUUCAUACACAGAAUUGCAAUUGCAGAAUAGGAGCAUGGACAGAGUGCAAAAACAGGUGUGGCCAGGAAGAAAGACUGAACCUGAACCUACUUGCUGGUUGCUGAAAUAAGUAAAUUAAAAGAUGCCCCUCCGACAUUACUUUCUCAGGAAUGGUAAUUCUUCUUUGCUUUAUGAAUUAUAUUCCUGCCUUUUAUAACACUUACUUUUGAUCCUAAAUAUUAAAAGUUCUCUUUUGAGGGCUGUGGCUGUGGUUCAGUGGUAGAGCGAUUGCCUCACACAUGUGAGGCACUGGGUUUGAUCCUCAGCAUCACGUAAAAAAUAAAUGAAUAAAUAAAGAUAUUGUGUCUAUCUGCAGCUAAAAAAAAAAAAGUUCUCUUUUCUAUAUUCUAAGGUAUAUGAAAGCAGACACCAUUUCUAUUGUGUCAAUUUCAGCCUUUACUUCAGGGCCCAACAUGGAGCAGAGAUGAAGUAAUUAUUUGUUCAUUGAAAACUAUUUCUUAAAUAAAAAGUUGUCUUUGCAAGUAUAAAAAAAAAAGAGUCUGAGUAUGUAGCUCAAUAGGUAGCAUGCAGGAGUAGCAUGCACAAGAUCCUGGGUUCUAUCUGCAGCACUGGAAAAAAGAGGGGAAGAGAAAAAGUUUUUAGUGAUUUCUAAGCUCCAACUCUUAAAGAAUUACAAGUAAAAUAAAAAAUUUAAAAAAACCCUGGACUUUCUGGAGUCCUCAUAAUAUACAGUGUUGUCCUUAGACUUCAUUCUCUGAUCCCAGUUUAGAAUCCUGUGCAUUGAACUACUGUUCAUAUUUAGCAUUAGUUGGCACCUUUCUAUUAGGGAGGUGCUAGAUGAUUCCUCAAAUUGGUUAAGGUUCCUCUAUCAACAUUUCCUUUUAGAGUUGUUACAUGGAGCCAGUGCUGGGCUAGAGUCAACUGGAUACAUGUCUUUCCAAUUUUGCCUUUAGUCCUUUUCACUUCAAUAUUUUAAAAUCUGCUUUGGUAGGAUUAUUAACACAUAAAUAUAAGCAAAUGCUACUAAUCAGGCUCUUUUCAAAAAACAGUUGUUAAACAUAUACUCACACAGCACUACUUUUUCUUUUAGAGGCUUACUCAGGGGUAAAGAGCCUGAUAAUUAAAGCUCAAGACAUUGCAAGGAAAGUCUAAUAUGGAACAUCCAAUUCCAAAUUAAUUAUAUUGGGUCAGGCACUGAGAAAGUCACCUUUCCUCAAGCCUCAUUCUAUGAGAGGGCUCCAACUUUUUCUCCCAGUCAAAAUCAGCUAAGUUUUUGUGACUAUUGUUUCCUCUUACUAUUAAAGGGUCCUUCAAAUUUCAUAUAUAGCCUCUUCCUUGAUGAAGCUGGAAAUCAGGGCCUCCUGUGCUACGAAGUUGUCAGAGAAAGAAGGAAAGGAAUGAUAAGCCCCAAGGAUUUAUUACUUUACAUUCACACCUUGUGUACUUUCAUUAUUUAAUAUUAUAAUCUAAAAUUCUUGUACUCUAUGGUUCAAAGGGUUUAGCCCAUAUAAUAAUAAAAAAAAAAAUGCUUAAGUAUCCCAGCCUACAUUUUAAGGACCUUUCAGAUUUGGGUUCAACAAAAUGCAAAUAUUUGUUUACUUGCAUGCUAUAGGAAGAUAGAUAGUACCGUUGCAGUCAUCACCAGCUGAGCCAUAAUUUCAAGUAAUUACAUUCUCUCAAGGGAAGAAAGCUCAUGUAAGUGGUUUUGGGGGGAUUCAGUUUACUAAGACUCUUGAUCUCAUUUAGCAAAUGCUUAAUGAGUUAUCAAAGUCUCUUGAAAGGAUGCUUGUUGGUGUUCUACAUACAAGUAGUAUUUUACUAGAUGAUGGAGAGUAGUUUUAACCAAUGUUUUAUCAUUGCAAGUAAAAGCUAAUUAUGCUUUGUUUUUAUUAAUCCCACUUGCUUGAAAGUCUUAUUCUUCCAAACAGGCUGUUUUGGAUACUACUUUAAUCUUAGUUAAUUAGAUAUAGGAAAGUGAAUCCAAUUCUCAAUUAUAGGCAUAAAGGUAAAAAUACACUAAUAUGAAGUCAAUUGGUAGAUAAAAAGAGAAUGUAUCUCAAAAGAAAUAAUAACAAAUGAAAUAAAUAAAUAAAAUUUAUUACUGAACCCACUUAUAUGCAAAAUAAUUUUACCACUUAAUAAAAUAGCCCUUGUGAUUUUUCUGAGUAUUUGGGGAACUGCUCAAUGAAUAAUACCUACAAGUGAUAUUUACUGAUCUAAGAUUCAGAUGUAUAACUUGAAGCUACAAGAAACCUGAUGCUAUGGCCCCCUUGCAUUCCUUGACUAAACCAGAUACAAAUAAAAAGUAAAGCUGUCUAAAAGUUAAACAGUUAAGGGGGAAGGAUGAACUCAUUUUCUUAUAUAUGAUCAAAUUUUAAAGCAAUUUUUUAACAAUACUAUUGAUACAUGUAUACAUUGGCUAUACCAGCAUUCUUCUAAUUAGUAUUCAAAUGAUUCAUUUUUCUCCAUGCUUUUACUUUGACCUGAUGUGUAUCUUUAUAUUCAAAAGGAGUUUCUUGUAGACAGCACAAGGUUGGGUCUUGCUUUUAAUUAGAAUGUUUAGACCAUUUACAUUUAUUGUAAUUAUUGAUUCAAAUCUACCAUUUUACUGUUAUUUUUUCUCUUUGUUUUUGUUGGGUUUUUUUCCCUUCAUUUCCUUCCUUCUUUUAGGUUAUUUUUGUGAUUUUAUUUUAGCCCGGCAUAUGAUCUUUUUUGGUGAAUGUUCUGUGUGCAUUGAAAAAUAAUGUGUAUUCUACAAUUAAUGAAUAAAGAAUUAUAUAAUGUU